AAAAUGACUCUCGGCAACGGAUAUCUAGGCUCUCGCAUCGAUGAAGAACGUAGCAAACUGCGAUACUUGGUGUGAAUUGCAGAAUCCCGUGAACCAUCGAGUUUUUGAACGCAAGUUGCGCCCAAGGUCGUUAGGCUGAGGGCACGUCUGCCUGGGUGUCACG
rnacentral:rRNA from 1 species